GACGAACGCUGGCGGCGUGCCUAAUACAUGCAAGUAGAACGCUGAAGAGAGGAGCUUGCUCUUCUUGGAUGAGUUGCGCACGGGUGAGUAACGCGUAGGUAACCUGCCUUGUAGCGGGGGAUAACUAUUGGAAACGAUAGCUAAUACCGCAUAACAAUGGAUGACACAUGUCAUUUAUUUGAAAGGGGCAAUUGCUCCACUACAAGAUGGACCUGCGUUGUAUUAGCUAGUAGGUGAGGUAAUGGCUCACCUAGGCGACGAUACAUAGCCGACCUGAGAGGGUGAUCGGCCACACUGGGACUGAGACACGGCCCAGACUCCUACGGGAGGCAGCAGUAGGGAAUCUUCGGCAAUAGGGGCAACCCUGACCGAGCAACGCCGCGUGAGGGAAGAAGGUUUUCGGAUCGUAAAGCUCGGUUGUAAGUCAAGAACGGGUGUGAGAGUGGAAAGUUCACACUGUGACGGUAGCUUACCAGAAAGGGACGGCUAACUACGUG
rnacentral:rRNA from 1 species